GGGAAUCUUCCGCAAUGGACGAAAGUCUGACGGAGCAACGCCGCGUGAGUGAUGAAGGUUUUCGGAUCGUAAAGCUCUGUUGUUAGGGAAGAACAAGUACCGUUCGAAUAGGGCGGUACCUUGACGGUACCUAACCAGAAAGCCACGGCUAACUACGUGCCAGCAGCCGCGGUAAUACGUAGGUGGCAAGCGUUGUCCGGAAUUAUUGGGCGUAAAGGGCUCGCAGGCGGUUUCUUAAGUCUGAUGUGAAAGCCCCCGGCUCAACCGGGGAGGGUCAUUGGAAACUGGGGAACUUGAGUGCAGAAGAGGAGAGUGGAAUUCCACGUGUAGCGGUGAAGUGCGUAGAGAUGUGGAGGAACACCAGUGGCGAAGGCGACUCUCUGGUCUGUAACUGACGCUGAGGAGCGAAAGCGUGGGGAGCGAACAGGA
rnacentral:misc_RNA from 1 species